rnacentral:piRNA from 1 species
CUGUAUAUGAUCUAGUGUUGGGGG